UGGUGCCUCUGGCGGCCAUUUUAGAACGGCUUGAACAAAAACAAGAUAGAGCUUCUUUUGUUCCCGAGGCUGUUAAAGCUUAACUUUCUUGACUAACUAGAUUUAUUUUAUGAUUUUAUAUUUUAACCAUGAUUGUACAUGUAUGCUUCUAAUUGUUUUACUUAUUUAUUAUAUUACUUACGUGGUCGGGUGGGAAACAUUACUUCCUAAUGCCGCUGGAGGGCCCUCUAGGAGGGGGGGGAAACGUUACUUACUACUGCCACUAGAGGGCACUUUUGCACUAUGAUAAUCAAUCCCCUGAGGGCGCAAGGACUUUUGGGUAAUUAUUAAGAAAGACCCGGAUUUUCCCUCGAUGCACACGUGGAGUGUUUUCAGGUGUACAUUGCCAGCAGUUGAAGCUGUAGACGAUCUCCAGAUAUUUGGAAACAGCGGGACAAGGAUCCUCCUCCACAUGGGCAUACGCGAAGCAGAAAGUGAUCACAUCUGGCGGUGACCUGGCAGCCGUUUAGUCACCUGGCAGUUAGCGGUCACAUGCAGUUGACCACAUUGCUGGAGCCCUGGCCGAUGUCCCGUAUCUGACUGACGUGAGACGAGCAGACGGCGACUCCAGCUCCGGCGCGGCAGUGAGACACUGAGCCCACCAGCUCCCAUCUAAACAGCAAAUCACAAAUAUCACACCCACAUGGCGCCGCCUGCUGUUCAUUUCAGGGCCAAAAAACCAGCUGUUCUUAGUGAUGGAGUAACACUCGAUGCUGCGAAAUGGGUCACCAGAACCCCCGCGGCCACCAACACAGAACAAAACCCCUGAGAGAAGAAGAGGAAGUACACGUGGUUGGCACAAUUUCUGCAGGAAGCCUUGAACAAUGGGACCACCAGAGGUUCUGAAACCCAGCUGUAAGAAACUCCACACACACACACACACACACACACGUUUACAUUUGCACAGACAUUUGUAGUGUCCGCAGAGAAAGUCAACAGACAGCCGUCCAUUGACGUGAACAUUAAAUAAAACCUUACAGUGACUGAGUGGUGAAAGCACCGACCUGAGUGUAGACCAGUGAGAGAACUUGUGAUUACAGAGGCCGUGGACGACUGAUGACCCCUGCAGCACAGCAGACCUCACGCUCAACAUUUGGUUUAUUUUCUCAACAGAAAUGUUGAAACAGUUAAGGCACCCGCGUUCACUUUCAGGCCAACCAACCAACCAGCGGUCACUAUAAAUACACUGACUCACAUA